GCCUGCCCAGUGACUCUGUUCAACGGCCGCGGUAUCCUAACCGUGCGAAGGUAGCGUAAUCACUUGUUCUUUAAAUGAGGACUAGUAUGAAUGGCAUCACGAAGGUUAUACUGUCUCCUCUUUCCAAUCAGUGAAACUAAUCUCCCCGUGAAGAAGCGGGGAUAACUUUAUAAGACGAGAAGACCCUAUGGAGCUUUAAACUAAGAAUCAACUGACUUUUCCACUUUUAAAUUCCAGAAAACUAACUUUUACCAAGACACUCUGAUUUCUAGUUUUAGGUUGGGGUGACCACGGAGUAAAAACUAACCUCCGCAAUGAACAGGGAUCUUCCCUUAACCAAGGACCACAACCCUAAGAAUCAACACAUUGACAUCAAUUGACCCAAAAAAUUUGAUCAAUGAAC
rnacentral:rRNA from 1 species